CGCAAGUAGUUCCGGUCGAGGAAGUGGGUGCUGGCGGCAGCCGGUUCCGCGCCAGGGCAGCAGCGCCGCGACUCCGGCGGUGCCCGGCCCAGCCUCGAGCCGCCGCCGCCUCGCCCGCGGGGAGUAGCCCGCCGCCAUGGCCACCCGCUCGUGCCGCGAGAAGGCGCAGAAACAGAACGAGCAGCACCAGGCCAUCCUGGCCAAGCUGCUGCGCGAGGAGGACAACAAGUACUGCGCCGACUGCGAGGCCAAGGGUCCACGAUGGGCUUCGUGGAACACUGGUGUUUUUAUUUGCAUCAGAUGUGCUGGAAUACAUAGAAAUCUUGGAGUCCAUAUAUCAAGGGUCAAAUCUGUCAACUUGGACCAGUGGACACCAGAGCAAAUACAGUGCAUGCAAGAAAUGGGAAAUACUAAAGCAAGACUACUCUAUGAAGCAAAUCUACCAGAGAACUUUCGAAGACCUCAAACAGAUCAAGCUGUGGAAUUUUUCAUUAGGGAUAAGUAUGAAAAGAAGAAGUAUUACGAUAAAAAUGCAGCUAAUGCCUUCAAUAAGGAAAAAGAAAAAAAGAAAGAAGAGAAAAAGAGAGAGAGAGAAGCAGAAAAAACAUCAAAACAAGUAGCAGUUGAAAAGCCACAGAAGAAAGAGGAUCAGCAAUUAGAAGCUAAAGGAAGUCCAAAAAAGUCAUCAGAACCCACUGUUGACCUCUUAGGGCUUGAUGGUCCAGCUGAAACAUCUGUUGCAAAUGGAGGCACUGCUGCUGCCAUCACAGCAUUGAAUGAUGACCUGGAUAUCUUCGGCCCAAUGAUCUCCAAUCCUUUACCAGCAGCUGCUGUACCUCCUGCUCAGAGCGCUUCUGCCAAACCAGCAGCUGCCACCUUGUCUGCAGCAGCCGGAGAUCUCGAUCUGUUCACUGAGCAAACGACAAAAUCAGAAGAGUCGGCAAAGAAACAGCUCUCCAAGGACUCCAUCUUGUCACUGUAUGGCACAGGAACCAUGCAGCAGCAGACUGCACCAGGUAUGUUCAUAGGCUCCUCCUCUAUGCCAUUUACCACACAGCCAUCGACUCAUUUCCAAGGUUUCCCAGCCAUGGGAGUUCCUGUGCCUGCAGCCACCGGGAUGAUGGGAAGCAUGAUGGGACAGUCGGUGCCAGUCAUGGGGCAGAGCACAGGGGUGAUGGUAGGAAUGGGAAUGCCCAAUGGAUUUACUGGUACGACGCAGACUGGUGUGAUGGGACUUCCUCAGAAUGUCGUUGGACCUCAAGGUGGAAUGGUGGGACAAAUGGUUACUCCACAGAAUAAGUAUGGACUGCAACAAAAUCAGCAAGCUCAAUGGAACCUCACCCAGAUGAAUCAGCAGAUGGCUGGAAUGAACCUCAGCAGCUCCAGCAACGCGAUGGGCUUUGGGCAGCCCCCCAGCACAGUGGCGGGAUGGACUGGAAGCGCCUCGGGUCAGACUCUCAGCACACAACUGUGGAAAUGAACGUUGCAAUAGAAGCUUCACCCAGAAGAGCCACCUAACAUUCCUUGUCCAAAUGCAUUUACUUCCGCUGUUCUCUCCAUGUACAUACUUCUUCUUUUUCCCGAGCUGUUCAGAUUAAGAAUAUAACUGACUGACCGUGUUGUGGUCUAUAUUGAUUUAAAUUUGAUGUAGUGAAAAGCAGAUCAAGAACACAUUUAUAUAUCACUGGCAGCGUUUUCAUACAAUGCAUAUGAAUUCAUAGGCCAUGUAUUUAAGAAGCUGCUUAACCACGUACUGUUUUUUUCCCCUCAAAAUUCUAGAUCAAAUGUUUGCAUUUAAGGGACGUAGCUAUCAUGUUAGUAAUAUCCAAAAAUAUAAACCCCGAUCCCCCCCCAAAAUUACCCAGUAAUCCUGUAGAAGGUACUGUAUGAACAAAUAUUUAAUCAUAUAUAAAUAGAAUGUAAAUGUAUCACCGAGCAAUGUUUUCUAGUGUAUCAAACAAAUUUUGUUUCAUCAUACAUUUCACUGUGAUGUUAAAUGGUGUGCAUAACAGGGAAUAUGAUCAUCGAAAGGAAGAUAAACCUGGAUGUUGCUCUAGUUCUACAAGUUUAUUCUUUUAAAAAUGAGCAUUCGAUCCAUUUGAGUUUCCUGUGCUAACGUACCCAAGCGGGCUCACGAGGCAUGUACGCAGUAUUAAUGCUGAGAACUGGUAUGUAUACAAGGUAGCUUGGUGGGAACAGAUCUAUUUUUCCUUGCAGAGAUAUCCAGGUUUAUGACAGUGAUUGUGUUUACAUUUUAUGGUGCCUCAUAAUGAUAAAAUGUUAUUUCCCUAUAUUAAAAGGAUGAAUCCGUAAAUGAUUGUGGCUUUUUAUUUCAUUAUUGUAUAACUAUUCGACAGCUAUUUCUUCAAGUCUGAUUUUAAUGAAGGAAAGCACGUUCCAUUUGGAUCUAUUUAUGCAAAUAUUUAGAUCAACAGUUCAUGAUUUAAAAUCAGUUUAUAAUUAUACCACUAAGCUGGAUAAAUACAAAAACUAUAUACAUACAUGAUGAUUUUGACAAUAUUCCAUUGCAGUCAUGUUUCUCUUGAUUGAUUGUUUUUACUAUGUGGAAACAGCCUUACAGCAAAGAAGUCCACCGGGUGACCAAAGAAUCUCACACCUGAAGGCUGUCGCAGGGGGCCGAACUGGAGCACCUCCCAGCACAUCUGCUGCACUGUGUGACUCAUCUCAGGAUCAUACCUCAAUAUUGACUGUGUCCAGAUGAUAUUUUGGCUCAUUAGCUAGAUUCACCUUUUCUGUUCGCGUGUGCCAUACAAGAACCUGCAAAAUAACCUUUUGUUAGGGCGGUCAUCUACAAAGACCAGCUAGAACCUUUUUAGAAAAUAAAUCAGUACCUUUGUGCA